CGGGAGGAAGAUACGUUAGCGGAUGUAAAAUUGUAUCCACUAUUCACAAUUUCUCCCAAAAUUAUAUCUGCUUUCUGAUGACUGUAACUUGUUGAGUGUUAAAUUACAGACAGAUACGGAGCAAAUAAAU